rnacentral:rRNA from 1 species
CAGUAGCCACGGUAAUACGAGGGGUGCAAGCGUUAUUCGGAUUGAUUGGGUGUAAAGGGUGUGCAGGCGGCUUAUUAAGUCACUUGUUAAAUUCUUCGGCCUAACUGAAGGUCUGCAAGUGAUACUGAUGAGCUAGAGGGUGGAAGAGAGAAGUGGAAUUCUCGGAGUAGCGGUAAAAUGCGUAGAUCUCGAGAGGAACACCAAUGGCGAAGGCAGCUUCUUGGUCCAUUCCUGACGUUCAUACACGAAAGCGUGGGGAGCAAACAGGAUUAGAUACCCCCGUAGUCCCUGUCUCUUAUAC